CCAUUCUCGAUACUGCUAAGCCUACACAGGGUCACGAGGAGCCUGGAGCCUAUCCCAGGGAACACAGGGCACA